CCACCAUCACGCUGCUUCAUGUUAAAUAGAAAUCGCUAGUGUAUAAAAGGCAGUACUAGUGCUUCAAUCUGGCAUAACUCAAGUUUUGUGAAAAUCUAAUCUUUACCUUCACUUCGUUUCACGAAAACAAAUAAAAAAACCAAAAAUGGGCGCUGAAAAAGUAACAAUGAACAUCGUUGUCGUCGGACAAGUCCAAUCUGCCAAGGCCAUCAAAUCGGUCGCCAAAGCCACCGCAGCCAUCAACCAAUUGAUGAACUGUUAAUUCUAAAAGCCUACAUCAAUAUUAAACUCAAAAAUGACAUAGCCCAAACAGUUCAGAGUUCUAUAACAAGUUAUAAAAUUGUGUAUUGACAUUAAAAAAUAAAUCAGUCUCUUCUGUCAAUUAA